rnacentral:rRNA from 1 species
GACGAACGCUGGCGGCGUGCCUAAUACAUGCAAGUAGAACGCUGAAGGAGGAGCUUGCUUCUCUGGAUGAGUUGCGAACGGGUGAGUAACGCGUAGGUAACCUGCCUGGUAGCGGGGGAUAACUAUUGGAAACGAUAGCUAAUACCGCAUAAUAGCAGUUGUUGCAUGACAACUGUUUGAAAGGUGCAAUUGCACCACUACCAGAUGGACCUGCGUUGUAUUAGCUAGUUGGUGGGGUAACGGCUCACCAAGGCGACGAUACAUAGCCGACCUGAGAGGGUGAUCGGCCACACUGGGACUGAGACACGGCCCAGACUCCUACGGGAGGCAGCAGUAGGGAAUCUUCGGCAAUGGACGGAAGUCUGACCGAGCAACGCCGCGUGAGUGAAGAAGGUUUUCGGAUCGUAAAGCUCUGUUGUAAGAGAAGAACGAGUGUGAGAGUGGAAAGUUCACACUGUGACGGUAUCUUACCAGAAAGGGACGGCUAACUGCGUG